rfam:Triticum urartu cultivar G1812 contig941802, whole genome shotgun sequence.
AUUGUACUCCCUCAGUCCGAAAAUACUUGUCAUCAAAAUGAACAAAAUGGAGUGUAUUUAGAUGUAUUUUAAUUCUAGAUACAUUCCUUUUUAUCUAUUUUGAUGACAAGUAUUUUCGGACGGAAGGAGUAGUUA